CGUUCAGUUUUGAGUUCGCUGGAAAAUCAUACUGAGACCGAAUACACCACUCUUGCCUUCACCUGCAUCUCUCACAGUAAGGGGACACUCGUUCAGUUUUCAACUCCGUUCAGAAUCUUAGAAUGUGAGAAUAACAGUGCAAAAGAACCUGUUGCAAA